rnacentral:rRNA from 1 species
GAUGAACGCUGGCGGCGUGCCUAAUACAUGCAAGUCGAGCGAAUGGAUUAAGAGCUUGCUCUUAUGAAGUUAGCGGCGGACGGGUGAGUAACACGUGGGUAACCUGCCCAUAAGACUGGGAUAACUCCGGGGAACCGGGGCUAAUACCGGAUAAUAUUUUGAACUGCAUGGUUCAAAAUUGAAAGGCGGCUUCGGCUGUCACUUAUGGAUGGACCCGCGUCGCAUUAGCUAGUUGGUGAGGUAACGGCUCACCAAGGCAAGGAUGCGUAGCCGACCUGGGAGGGUGAUCGGCCACACUGGGACUGAGACACGGCCCAGACUCCUACGGGAGGCAGCAGUAGGGAAUCUUCCGCAAUGGACGAAAGUCUGACGGAGCAACGCCGCGUGAGUGAUGAAGGCUUUCGGGUCGUAAAACUCUGUUGUUAGGGAAGAACAAGUGCUAGUUGAAUAAGCUGGCACCUUGACGGUACCUAACCAGAAAGCCACGGCUAACUACGUGCCAGCCGCCGCCGUAA